GUAAGUGUGGGAGAGAUCCCCAGCUCAGCUAUGUAGAGGCGUUGUCUGUGGAGACAGCUGGGGGAAGGCUAGUGGUCACAGCACCUGUAUUAUUGUCAGGGAGCUGUGAGGCUAGGGAGCUGUGAGGCUAGGGAGCUGUGAGGCUAGGUAGUAUCAGGGAGCUGUGAGGCUAGGGAGCUGUGAGGCUAGGUAGUAUCAGGGAGCUGUGAGGCUAGGGAGCUGUGAGGCUAGGUAGUGUCAGGAAGCUGUGAGGCUAGGUAGUAUCAGGGAGCUGUGAGGCUAGGUAGUUUCAGGGAGCUGUGAGGCUAGGUAGGUUCAGGGAGCUGUGAGGCUAGGUAGUUUCAGGGAGCUGUGAGGCUAGGUAGUUUCAGGGAGCUGUGAGGCUAGGUAGUAUCAGGGAGCUGUGAGGCUAGGUAGUUUCAGUGAGCUGUGAGGCUAGGGAGCUGUGAGGCUAGGUAGUAUCAGGGAGCUGUGAGACAAGGGAGCUGUGAGGCUAGGUAGUGUCAGGGAGCUGUGAGGCUAGGUAGUAUCAGGGAGCUGUGAGGCUAGGUAGUAUCAGGGAGCUGUGAGGCUAGGGAGCUGUGAGGCUAGGUAGUUUCAGUGAGCUGUGAGGCUAGGGAGCUGUGAGGCUAGGUAGUAUCAGGGAGCUGUGAGGCUAGGGAGCUGUGAGGCUAGGUAGUGUCAGGGAGCUGUGAGGCUAGGUAGUAUCAGGGAGCUGUGAGGCUAGGUAGUAUCAGGGAGCUGUGAGGCUAGGGAGCUGUGAGGCUAGGUAGUAUCAGGGAGCUGUGAGGCUAGGUAGUUUCAGUGAGCUGUGAGGCUAGGUACUGUCAGGGAGCUGUGAGGCUAGGUAGUAUCAGGGAGCUGUGAGGCUAGGUAGUGUCAGUGAGCUGUGAGGCUAGGGAGCUGUGAGGCUAGGUAGUAUCAGGGAGUUGUGAGGCUAGGUAGUUUCAGUGAGCUGUGAGGCUAGGGAGCUGUGAGUCUAGGUAGUAUCAGGGAGCUGUGAGGCUAGGUAGUGUCAGGGAGCUGUGAGGCUAUGUAGUGUCAGGGAGCUGUGAGGCUAGGUAGUAUCAGGGAGAUGUUAGGCUAGGUAGUAUCAGGGAGCUGUGAGGCUAGGUAGUAUCAGGGAGCUGUGAGGCUAGGUAGUUUCAGUGAGCUGUGAGGCUAGGUAGUGUCAGGGAGCUGUGAGGCUACGUAGUAUCAGGGAGCUGUGAGGCUAGGUAGUGUCAGUGAGCUGUGAGGCUAGGUAGUUUCAGGGAGCUGUGAGGCUAGGUAGUUUCAGGGAGCUGUGAGGCUAGGUAGUUUCAGGGAGCUGUGAGGCUAGGUAGUUUCAGGGAGCUGUGAGGCUAGGUAGUUUCAGGGAGCUGGGAGGCUAUGUAGUUUCAGGGAGCUGUGAGGCUAGGUACUGUCAGGGAGCUGUGAGGCUAGGUAGUAUCAGGGAGCUGUGAGGCUGGGUAGUAUUAGGGAGCUGUGAGGCUAGGUAGUUUCAGGGAGCUGUGAGGCUAGGUAGUAUCAGGGAGCUGUGAGGCUAGGUAGUUUCAGGGAGCUGUGAGGCUAGGGAGCUGUGAGGCUAGGUAGUUUAGGGAGCUGUGAGGCUAGGUAGUUUCAGGGAGCUGUGAGGCUAGGUAGUUUCAGGGAGCUGUGAGGAAUGGUAGUGUCAGGGAGCUGUGAGGCUAGGUAGUUGCAGGGAGCUGUGAGGCUAGGUACUGUCAGGGAGCUGUGAGGCUAGGUAGUAUCAGGGAGCUGUGAGGCUAGGUAGUUUCAGGGAGCUGUGAGGCUAGGUAGUAUCAGGUAGAGACCAGUGUUACCAGGCUAGGUAGUAUCAGGUAGAGGCCAGUGUUACCAGGCUAGGUAGUAUCAGCUAGAGACCAGUGUUACCAGGCUAGGUAGUAUCAGGUAGAGACCAGUGUUACCAGGCUAGGUAGUGAGACCAGUGUUACCAGGCUAGGUAGUAUCAGGUAGAGACCAGUAUUACCAGGCUAGGUAGAGACCAGUAUUACCAGGCUAGGUAGAGACCAGUGUUACCAGGCUAGGUAGUAUCAGGUAGAGACCAGUGUUACCAGGCUAGGUAGUGAGACCAGUGUUACCAGGCUAGGUAGCUCCAUUGCUGUAGUGUCCUGUGCUCAGGAACUCGUCUUGUUUCUUCCAGCCAGGGAAAAUGGCAGUGGAGGAGGGAGCAGAGUUGCUAGGAGCAAUUGACAGUAAUGCCAGCUACUUGAGAGCAGCCCGGGCAGGGAACCUACAGAAGGCUUUGGAUUACCUGAAGACUGGGGUCGAAAUCAACAUCUCUAACCAGAAUGGCCUCAAUGCCCUCCAUCUGGCCUCUAAAGAGGGCCAUGCCGAGGUGGUCACACAGCUCAUCAAGCUGGGAGCCAAUGUGGACGCUGCAACUAAGAAAGGGAACACAGCUCUCCACAUAGCGUCUCUGGCUGGUCAGGUGGAUGUAGUGAAGGAGCUGGUGACCAGCGGAGCUAACAUCAACGCACAGUCUCAGAAUGGCUUCACUCCUCUGUACAUGGCUGCUCAGGAGAAUCAUCAGAAGGUGGUCAGAUACCUGCUGGACCAUGGCUCCACACAGGGCAUCGCUACAGAGGAUGGCUUCACCCCCCUGGCGGUGGCGUUGCAGCAGGGACAUGAACAGGUGGUCUCUCUGCUCCUGGAGAAUGACACUAAAGGGAAGGUCCGGCUCCCGGCGCUCCACAUCGCCGCUCGCAAAGACGAUACCAAGGCUGUUGCGCUGCUUCUCCAGAUCGACCACAACGCAGAUGUCGAGUCCAAGAGUGGCUUUACUCCGCUGCACAUUGCUGCUCACUACGGCAACAUCAACGUGGCAACGCUCCUCCUCAACCGCGGCGCCGCCGUGGACUUCAAGGCCAGGAAUGACAUCACACCGCUGCACGUGGCUUCUAAGAGAGGGAAUGGCAACAUGGUCAAAGUUCUGCUGGAGAGGGGAGGCAAGAUAGACGCCAGGACUAAGGUUAGAUAUACACUGUACUAA
rnacentral:lncRNA from 1 species